CAAAGAUGAUGAAUAACCUUCAAAAUAAACUAGUUUUUUAUACAAUUGAUUAAAUUUUUUUCCACUCCAAUUGAGUAUAAAUACCGCUUAGAAAAAAUCAUUGUUAUACUUUCCAGUUUCAAGCUAGAAAAGUACUCUUUCAACAUGCAUUACUUGUUUGCUCUCUUGGUCGUUGUUGCUUUGGUGGUUUGCGCAUAUGCGCAAUACUACCCUUACAACUACAACUACUAUUAUGGAGCUCCAGCUGCUUCUUAUCCCUAUGCUUACAACUACGCUGCUUACAACCCAGCUUUGCCUUACUACUGGAAGAAGUGAAUGAACGGUUAAUGAUGAGUGUUAUAUGAAAAGAAAACCAAGAAGAAGAUUCUGAUCAAAUAUUCAAAGCUUUAAAAUGACCUUAUUUUGAAUCUUAAAGAUUUUAUCUUAAUAUGCAUUUUAAAAAUAAAAAUUGCUCUUUCUGUUCUUUUAUCUGAAAAAUAAAAGUUUUAAAUUGAU